GGUCAUUCCAGAAUCCUUAUCAUGUCAUGUCAUGUCAUGUCGUGUCAUGCCAUGUCAUGUCAUGUCAUGUCAUGCAAAUAUCUUUUUUCCAGGAACAUAACAAAAUCAUGUUUCAAUAACAUUUCUGAGAAUUGGAGAUACAAUUCCAAAUUUAUUCUUGAUUCAAAUUAACCCUUACAUGAACAGUUAGGAUAUAGAGCAAAAUGGAUAUUCGCAUCUACAAUUCCCCUCUUAG
rnacentral:lncRNA from 1 species